GCAUCCGUAGCUCAGAUGGAUAGAGUACUCGGCUACGAACCGAGCGGUCGGAGGUUCGAAUCCUCCCGGAUGCACCA
rnacentral:tRNA from 5 species